rnacentral:rRNA from 1 species
AUGAAUGUUGUUGCUGGAGCGAAAUUCGGUUUCCCAAUUGAUGACAACCACUGUCCUAUCAUGAGUUGGAACAUCUGGGGGAUGAACAUGCCGGCGAAACGUGACACCAUCUGUGAAGUGGCUCAAACCCACAAGUUAGUGAUGCUCUGUCUCCAGGAAACUAAGAUUGAGGUGUGGAAUCAAAACUUAGUAAAAGAAACAGGUGGUGCUAUGCUCAUUGACUGCAUUGUCAUGCCUGCCAUUGGGUCAAGGGGAGGCGCUGCAAUAUUUUGGAACAAGGAGUUAGUUUCUUUAGCUUCACACGCAGUAGGGCAGUUUCCUAUCAUAGCCAAAGUAACGAUCCUCAGUUUAGCCACAUCCUUCUGGAUGACGACUGUGUACGGUCCAGUAGACGACGCUCGCAAAGAGGAUUUCCUCCAGGAAGUGGCGGCUGCUGCGCCUCCAUUAGCUGAACCAUGGUUGAUCAAUGGCGAAUUCAACAUCAUCUAUGAAGCACGAGCCAAGAACAAUAUGAAUAUCAAUAGGAGGCUUAUGGGUAGGUUUAGAGCGGACAUAGACACGGCUGGUCUGCGGGAGAUCAAGUGCAAAAACCGUAGGUUUACAUGGAGUAAUGAAAGAGAAAACCCCACUUUAGUGAGCAUAGACAAAUUCUUCUGCAACCAGAGUUGA